CCUACGGGUGGCAGCAGUGAGGAAUAUUGGUCAAUGGGCGCGAGCCUGAACCAGCCAAGUCGCGUGAGGGAAGACGGUCCUACGGAUUGUAAACCUCUUUUGUCGGGGAGCAAAAUGCGGCACGUGUACCGUUUCGAGAGUACCCGAAGAAAAAGCAUCGGCUAACUCCGUGCCAGCAGCCGCGGUAAUACGGAGGAUGCGAGCGUUAUCCGGAUUUAUUGGGUUUAAAGGGUGCGCAGGGGGCUGUUAAAGUCAGCGGUAAAAUUUGGGGGCUCAACCUCGAAUAGCCGUUGAAACUGGCUUGCUUGAGUGGGUGAGAAGUAUGCGGAAUGCGUGGUGUAGCGGUGAAAUGCAUAGAUAUCACGAAGAACUCCGAUUGCGAAGGCAGCAUACCGGCGCCCAACUGACGCUCAGGCACGAAAGUGUGGGUAUCGAACAGGAUUAGAUACCCGUGUAGUC
rnacentral:rRNA from 1 species